CAGAGUAGUUUAUUUAAAAAUUUCUAUUUUACACGUAGAAGAACUCCUUUAGGAGCUUUGU
rnacentral:tRNA from 1 species